rnacentral:sRNA from 1 species
CCCUAGCCCCGAUAGGAGUGAAAAUCCUUUUGUGCCGGGUUUCGGCACAAAAGAUUGCAACAAAUAGCGGGAAAAGCU